rnacentral:sRNA from 1 species
GUCGUCGGGGUUUCCUGCUUCAACAGUGCUUGGACGGAACCCGGCGCUCGUCCCCCACCCCGGCCGGCCGCCCAUAGCCAGCCCUCCGUCACCUCUUCACCGCGCCUUCGGACUGCCCCAAGGCUCCCGCCGCCGCCGCCGCCGCCGCCGCCGCCGCCGCCUCUCCUUAGUCGCCGCCAUGACGACCGCGUCCACCUCGCAGGUGCGCCAGAACUACCACCAGGACUCAGAGGCCGCCAUCAACCGCCAGAUCAACCUGGAGCUCUACGCCUCCUACGUUUACCUGUCCAUGUCUUACUACUUUGACCGCGAUGAUGUGGCUUUGAAGAACUUUGCCAAAUACUUUCUUCACCAAUCUCAUGAGGAGAGGGAACAUGCUGAGAAACUGAUGAAGCUGCAGAACCAACGAGGUGGCCGAAUCUUCCUUCAGGAUAUCAAGGUGAACAAAAGAUCCCAGGGGUGUCAUACUUCAUCAUCUAGCAGUGUUCGGGUAUCAGAAAUCACUUAAACUAGCAAUUGCCCUUAUAAAGUGAUGAUACAUUGGGCUUUUGCCUUUUGUGCUUUUUUAGGCUUACCAUCUAAACUAAAUUAGGCAAAUAGUAAUGUCCCUUUUGCCAAAACGUGGUGGUUAGAGAUGAUGGGCUUGCUGACUUCUAGGUUAGUUGGUAGAGAUGCGUUAACCUAUUCUCCUCAUUCAGAAACCAGACUGUGAUGACUGGGAGAGCGGGCUGAAUGCGAUGGAGUGUGCAUUACAUUUGGAAAAAAAUGUGAAUCAGUCACUACUGGAACUGCACAAACUGGCCACUGACAAAAAUGACCCCCAUUUGUGUGACUUCCUUGAGACACAUUACCUGAACGAGCAGGUGAAAGCCAUCAAA